CCUUGUACACACCGCCCGUCACACCAUGGGAGUUGGCUUUACCCGAAGGUGGUGCGCUAACCCGCAAGGGAGGCAGCCAACCACGGUAGGGUCAGCGACUGGGGUG
rnacentral:rRNA from 1 species